ensembl:lncRNA
AAGUAUUAUUAAAGCAGUAGUGAGAUUUUUUUGUUAUUAUUUCUAGCACAGAAGCGAUGAAUGCUGCAUAAUUAAGUACAGUAUUUAAUUUGGCUGUUGUGAAGCAAAAGAAUAAGGUAAUAAUUUUUAUUGUACUAAUCAGACUCAAGAUGUUCUCUGUGUUAAUUGGGUUAAAAAAAUUGCAGUACUUAUUAGAAAUUCUAAUUUCACAAUGCAGCACUGACAAUAAGCUCAGCCAGUGAAUUAUUCACAUCUUUAAUUUGCUCUCUUAAUGACAGUGUUCUGUAAUCAGAGUGCAGAGACUGCUUCCUAUGCAUUAUGUAUGAUGUUCAGGACUUAAAUGCAGGACAUUAUGAAGCCUCUCAGUGGCUCAGUAAUUAGUUUUCCACAAGACAGGGCUUAGAUAUUCACAGAUAAAAGUCUACAGUUGAGAUAAUGUUAAGGUGGUGACUCAUGCUAACAAAAGCAGGAAAGUUCAAAUUUAACUACUCUCCAUUCUCCCUUACUGUGCAGGGGAAGGGGAAGAAAGUCUCCAAAACUAACCCAUCGCGGGAAAGAGCAUGUUUUCAGCCUAACAGGGCUUUGCUCAUGAACAUGUUUUGGUACAUCUCCUCAUCUGGUCCUCACUUCAGGUAGCACACAGGUAAUGAAAGGUGUAGGCUACUUCCUUUCUGGGCCCUAUAUGAAUCAUCUGUGGCAUAAACUUAUGAUAAAUAUUACAAAGACAUAAGAGAGCUUGUCUCUUAUAAAAGAUAGGAGAGAGGGUAAGAGAGAUGGACCGAUUCUGCUGCAGAGGGAGGAUUAAAUGGAAGGAGUGGUAUACUGAUCUGUUUAAGAGAUUUUUGGUUUAAAAAAUAGUUCUGUAAGACUAAUGUACCUUGGUAUUCUAUGGGGUUCAUACUUGUAAAUUUAUGUUUUAAGUGAGUAAUACUCAGACUGCAUGAUAAACUUGCCCUUUAUUAGACAAGAGAGAAACAACUUGAAAGAGAGGUUCUGCUAAGUAGAGGUUGUGCUCACUUCAUUAUUCAGCAGACACCAUACACAGCUGUCUGUAUUUUAAAAGCCUUUAAGAAUGCCAUUUCUUUGAGACCUUUUCCUGUGCAUUGUACUCAGAUGGAAUUGGUUACUAGCAGUGAUCAAGAGAAGCUGAGCAGCACAUAGAUAUGUAAUAUUGUUACACUACUGAUUUGUUUCAGGAAGCCAUAUGAAAAGAACCAAUAGUCUUUGGUCCAAGGAGCUUUACAUUCCCUCAGAAUCUACAAAAAACACUGCUAAGUCUUAUGUCUUAGUAGAGGUAUGGUGUUUCUUUCCUUUAAAAUCAUGUAAGCAUGUUCAUUAUUUCUUAUUCAGAAAAAUCUGAUCCAUAUCCUGAGGAAUAAGGCCAGGUGCCUGGCAUCUAGAAUUAACAGCUUCCAAUGGAAAGCUAUUACUGCUGCUUCUCUCUCUUACCCUGGAAAACUCCACUGCAUAUGCUGCAUUCUUAUUUACUCACUCUUCUCUAUUCUUCAUUUCUCUAUUCUUUUACAGCAUAUGGUCUUUGCUGUUUUACACUUUUCACAAGUCAUUGUUUUCCAAUGAAUUUGUAAUAGUUCUGCAGUUUCAAA